rnacentral:tRNA from 1 species
GCCUGGGUGGCUCAGUUGGUUGAGCGUCUGACUUUGGCUCAGGUCAUGAUCUCAUGGUUCGUGAGUUCGAGCCCCACGUCGGGCU